rnacentral:lncRNA from 1 species
UCAUACAGCAAAAGGGACUGUGAAGUGAUUGGAGUAAGGAACUGGGGAUUGAAAGAUGAUCCUGGGUCAUCGGGGCCCAGCGUCACCACAGUGUCCUCAUGAGAGGAAGGCAAGAGGGUCAGAGGCAGAAAAGAACUGGAAGACACAGCAGCGCUGGCUUUGAAGACAGGAAGGGUCCACGAGCCGAGGGAUGUGGGCUCCUCUAGAUGCUGGGAAGGGCAGGAUGUGGGUGGGUUCCCCCCUGAGCCUCCAGGAGGGACCAACUUGUUAGCAUCUUGGUUUUUAGCCUGGUGAGUCUGAUUUCAGACUUCUGAAGCCCAGUACUGAGACAUAACGAGUGUGUGUUGGUGUGAGCUGCCAGGGUUGUAGUGGUUAAUCACGGACCAGCAGGGAGUAACAGGCAACAGGCCUCUGAGAGAAUUCAUCCUUUAGCCAAAAGGAUUUUUAAGUGGGAGACUUAUGUGAUUUUUGUCUUUCUUUGUUGGAAGGAAAGGAACAGAAGUAAACAUGGAAUUCAGCCUGAGAAGGAGGGAGGUGCAGAGGCUGUGUGCACGAGGCAGGUGGAGUGUCAGAGCACAGGUGAGCUGGGGAGUGAUGGGGGUCGAGAGGAGGGGGAUUCCAGAUGUUCACAAGGUGACCAGUCAGAUGUGGACACAGGUGGCUGUCAGAUCAAUUGAAUACAGAGAUAUGGGGAAAGUCAUUCUAUCUCAGCCAUUUAUAGAUCUCAGUAUGUGGGUUGGGGUGACUUGGGGGACGUCAGAAAUGGAUGUAAUGAAAUAAGUUCACUGGUCAGCCCCUAGACAAAGCUGAGGCGGAACAGCAGGAACAGCAGCCAGGCAAGCUCAGACAAGCCCAGAGAACCUUCAGGAGGCUCAGGAUCUCAGGGGACCUGACUGAAAUCUGAUUCCUCCUCAAGUGCUAGUAGGUCAGUCACAGGGGAAAAUAGAAAGCUUGACUCGUUUUUUUCUUAGGCAGCUGAGUUGACUUUCAGGUUAGCAACAGCGUGGAGCCGUUUCCCUGGUGAAGUCACACUUGAGGUAGCCUCAGUCCCUACCUUCCAGGCAUACUUCAUUCGCCAUUCCUGUUUGUGCACAGUGUGACCCAAAGGGGUCAGCCCUGGAGCAGUCACAGAAAUGCUGGCUUUCCCUUAGGAAUUCCUAGGCUAAUAAAUUCACUUCCCCCAGCUCAGGGUGCUUAUCUGUGAAUGCAGGUGUUACAGCCACCUUGAAACCGUGCAAAGCAGAGACCGAGUACUUGACACAUCAUCACAGCACCCAUCCAGUAAACACAACUGUGGUCAGCAUCCCCAAGAACAGCAAGGGCUGCCCACCUCUGGUCUUACCAUUGCAGCUGCAGGUAAACGUGGGUCUUGGAAGUCCCAUUUCCCAAUUCAUCCCAUGUCAUGUUCCCCACGACUAAAACACUCAGCGUCACUCCAGGGGAACUGUGCAGCACGAAAUAACCACACAAGAGACAGAAAGAGAAAGAGCGAGCUCUUGCUGAACCUUUUAUUGAAGAGAAGCCAUUCAAAUGAGGCCAGGGGUCAGAUUUCAGGGGGCUGAGUCUAGCUUCCUGAUGUUGCUGUCAGCAGGUUGACUGACAUCUAGGAAGGCCACACCCAAAGGCAGAGCAAGAGAAGGGGGAUACACAAAGGCAUUUCCAUGGAAUAUUCUAUCCCAAACAGGACAAAGGGGUAGUAUCACAAAGGAACAGGUGAGUAUAGUUCAAUCCAUGGGAUGACGCCUACGUUUGAAGAUGUGUCCUCAAAUUUCUGGGACCGGGGCAAUGUCCAGGUCACUCAUUACAAGAUAUAGUGAUGGUCAAAAGCCUCUCCGCUCCAGGCCGGAAGACACAGAUCAUUCAGAGUGGCUCCCCACAAUCCCACUGGAUCCAGCCUGUGACACUUGCAUCCAGUGUCUUUGUGGCGAGAACAGCAGUGGGUAUUUUAUCCUCUCUAGAGUCAAGGGAUAGGGAAAGCCCCACAGCUCUGGUUCCUAGGGUCAUUGGAGUAGCCUGGUCUGCCCUGUUGUCCCAGAGCAAUAUUCACAUUGACUGUAUUCACUCUCAGCGUCCCCAAGUGGACUAUAGUCAAUAAGUCACACUCUUGCCCUCCCUGCUUCUACAGGGACUUAGUUGGCAGGAGCCACCACCACUCCUCUUUGUAAGAUUUCUGUGUUGUUUUUGUAUUUAACUUUUCUUUUUCAUGUCAUGAGUUCUCUUUCUUGUGGUGUCUCUCGCUGUUUCCCAUGUGUUUGGUGGUCUUUUGCAGGCUCCUUUGUAUUUUCAAGUGAAAAUUCAGUGGUUUCUAAGGUAGUCACAAAGGAAUGCGACUGCCAGCACUCACAUUCCAGAACAUUCUCAUCUCUCCAGAAAGAAACCCUGUGUCCCUUAGCUGUCAUUCCCUGUUCCACCCCCCACAGUCACUAGCAACAGUUAAUCUGCUUUCUGACUCUCUGGAUUGCCUCUUCUAGAUACUUUGUAUAAAUGGAGUUUUAUAGUAUGUGGCCUCUUGUGACUAGCUUAUUUUCACUAAGCAUAAUGUCCUCGGUGUUCAUCCAUGCUGUAGUGUGUCACUGGUUCAUUCCUUUUUAUGGAUAAAUAAUAUUCCACUAUAUGAAUAGACCAUGUUAUGUUUACCCAUUCAUCCAUUGCAGGACAUUUGGGCUAUUUCCACCUUUUGACUACAGGGACUAGUGCUGCUAUGAACAUUCAUGUACAAGUUUCCAUGUGAACAUAAUGUGUUCAUUUUUCUUGGGCAUAUACUAUCUGGUAGUGAAACAUAUGGGCACUCUGUGUUUCACUUUUUUUUAAUAUUUUUUUUUUAGUUGUAGAUGGACACAAUAUCUUUAUUUCUUUAAUUUUAUGUGGUGCUGAGGAUCAAACCCAGUGCCUCACACAUGUAAGGCAGGCACUCUAGCACCGAGCCUCAGCCCCAGCCCCUGCAUUUCACUUUUUUUCCGCAAUACUGAGAAUGGAACCCAGAGCCUUGUGCAUGCUAGGCAAGUGCUCAACCACUGAACUGCAACCCCGGCCUUUAUUUUCCACUUUUGAACUGCCAGGCAGGUUUCUCCAGUCUGCUAUUUAUAAAUGAGAUGAAGACUUCACAUGCUUAUCAGUCAUGGUAAGCAGUUUACAAUUUUAAUGUCUCCAUCCUAGGCUAGAGAAAUAGCUCAGUGGUAGAGCUCAUGCUUAGUAUGUACAAGGCCCUGAGUUUAAUCCUCAGCACCCCAAGGAAAAGAAGGGAGAAAAGGAAUUCUAGCCUUGUUCCUCAUCCAGCAACCUAGAGGAAGACCCACAGGCAUUGCCAGGUCUUCCGCAGGUCAAGAAGCCUGGAUUCUGGGAGUCUGGACACCUCUUUCUCUUACAGAUGAAGCUGACUUGGAGGUCUGGUGGAAGGACCAGUCACUGUACAUCAGGGACUCAGCCUUAGUGAGGAGCCAUCUGCAAAUCUAGAGACUGACCAGGGCAACAGCACCCUUACAGCAGGGACAGGGACCUAGGAGCAGGCAGCUGGACUGGAUGUGCCCAGGUGGGAGCAGCAGCCAUCUCCCUAGAUCAGCUUUCCCACUCCCAGAGGUAGGGCCCAUGAAUUUGCCAGAGUUUACUUGUAAGAUGGCUGCAAGCUGCAAGAGCCCCUGGGGAAGGAUGAGCACUUAGGAUUCCAGGUUCUGCCCUACCCUGGCAACUUCCACACUCUGUAUCACAAGACCCUCUCAGUCCCUCAGAUAGGAGACCAGAAAGCCAGAUAAAAAACCACAGCCAGUAGCUGGGUGCAGUGGUGCUCGCCUGUAAUCCCAGUGGCUUGGGAGGCUGAGGCAAGAAGGAUCACAAGUUCAACGGCAGCCUCAGCAAAAAGCGAGGUGCUAAGCAACUCAGUGAGACCCUGUCUCUAAAUAAAAUACAAAAUAGGGCUGGAUGUGGCUCAGUGGCUGAGCGCUCCUGAGUUCAGUCCCCGAUAACACCCCCUGGCCCCCGACCAAAAAAAACCCCUGCAGCCCGAGCAUUUCUUGGAGCACUCCACAGGCUCACCUCCAGGUGUUCAGAAUGAAGAACAAGUAGCUGGAUGUAAGCAAAGCCAGAUGUUUUCAGUCCAUUUAAAGCUCAGACAAACUGAUAGGAGCCAAAAGGGCAAAGGCCAGGAACAGAUAACUCACCAAAAACAGGAGUCCACUAACCUGAGCCUGGGUUAGCAAGUGCCAAGGUUGGGGCCCAGGAGUAGGGAUUGGCCAAGGCAAAGGCUUAGUCCAGCACAGGCAGGACCAACCCUCACUUUCCUCAGGGGUGGUGCCCACUUUAAUCAGAAAGACCCUUUGAGGACAUUUACCCACCAUAUUAUAGGGUUCGUGGUCUAACAAUAAAAAUCACUGGUGAAAGGGCUAUCCACAGGAGGGCGUUUCUUCCCAUCUAUAAAAGGUCAUCGUCAAGUGGAGCCUAAUUCAAAGCCCGGGGAUGGGACUGGUUUGGUGAGUCAUGUAGUUUCCACUAGAAACCACAGUGAGGAGGCCUACAACCUGUGGAGUGACAGUGGCUCCCAAACCCUGCGCCAGGCGCAGUCCAGAUGUCCCUCAGCACACACUUGCUCACACACUCUGUCUCUGAAAAGUGGCCAAAAGGGGUGGGGGCUGGGAUCAGCAAACCCUGGAACUUGGGUGUGGAACCUCAAUGCUCCAGUGCACAUGGUAUAAGAGAAAGGAGCAGGGUCCCAAGUAGCACCUGCCCCCUUUGUGGCCUUACUUAUGGCUGCAAAAGGUAAGAAGGGCAGUGGAAGAAGAAAUGGGGGACCAGCUGGUGGGCUCCAAGGGCAGCACACAACAACGGACUGAUGAGAGGUGUAGGGGUCAAGAGAAGAGAGGAAGGGGCUAGAGGGACAGUCUGAAAUUGGCCACUCUGGGGAAGGAAAGGAGCCCAGGAGGGUGGGCUCCUUCAUGUUGGCAUUGGUGGGUGGAGAUUUCCACUCCAUCCAGUCAGGGCCCCACAGCUUCGUAUGGUUGAAUUUGAGGGGAAAGAGGCAUCCUCAGUAGUGUGGUUACCGCAGUGGCUUCAGGUGAAGCUGAGAGGGAAAGGUGGGGAUGGGGAAAGCACCUUUAUCUUUGGUCCAUCUGUUAGACAACUCAUCCACUUGUCUCACUGGAUUGCACUUUGGGUGGUGGGCUCUGCUACAGCCCAAUGGGUCUCAGCAGGAGAGGUUGGGUGGCCCUUGUCACCCACAGGCACUGCUGGGUCUUCUACAUGUCAAGGAGCCAGAAUUCUGGGGGCUGGACACCCCCUUCUCUUGCAGUUGAUGCUGGCCUGGAUCCCUGACUGGGGGACCAGGGACCAUACAUCAGGACUAAGGCACAGUGAGGAGCCCCUUAGAACUCCAGAGGCUGGCCAGGGCAACUGCAGCAUUGCAAGGACAGGGACUGAGGAGCAGGGAGUUGGAUUGGGUACACCAGGUGGGAGGGGCAGCCCCCCACCCUCACCUUCCCACUCCCAGAGGUGGACUCACCUCCAGGGCCCAGGCUUCCCUGGGCACAUGCUUGCCUUCCUCUUCCUCCCCCAGAUCCCUACUGCCUGCCUUCCUUCCUCCCUCUGGACUGUCACCUCUGUCCUGCCCCCAGGAAUGCUGCUGUUCUGCUCUGGCAAAGAAUGGCUGUGAGACACCUCGCAUAGGAUCUGGCUCUCCACUAAGCUGUCAGCAAACCGAAAUGCUGCACUUCCUGGUCCCUGUGGCCUGAAGGAAAGCAGCUCAAAUGUGUCCAUCUUGGCCUCUCCAGCUCCCUACACCGGGCCUGGUGCUCAGUAGGUGGCAAAAGUCUGUUGACCAAAUGAACAGCAGCCAGCCCUUGCUCUUAGUGGCCAAGAAAAGGACACCACCACCCAGGUUCAUUAUAAUCCCACACAUUGUAGCUGAGCCCCCACCCUGUGGAUCAGGCCUCCCAAACUCUACAGGAAACGGGAGGGCACCCUACGCCCACUUCAGGGGGAAUCUGUCAGAGACCAGGGGUGGCAGUUGUGGAGGGGAUCAGUGACAUGAAUCAUGUAGAGGAGGCAGCAUUAAGGAGCUCAGAGAACAAGGCAGGGCAAAGGAGGGGCACCCUCCACCCCAACUUGCCAUCUCCUUCACUGACCCAUUGCCCACUGACCAUCUUUAAAUGAACUAGCUCAUACCUUCAUCCAGUGACUGGCACAGGGUCAAGAAGAUUCCCCCAAGACAUUGUCCUCCCCUGCCUCAGCUCUCCCAGUAUAUCAGGGGCCUGAGACCCAGAGGCUGCGCUCAUCAGGACUUUGGGUGGGAGAGAAAACAUUAUUAUUAUUAUUACUAGAUCUAUCUUCCUCAGGGCCCAGGCGUGCUGGGACUUCAUGUUCCAGAAUAGGAGCAUGUUCAACCCACACAGAUGCUUCUAUUCCAGGGGCAGGCCAAGGUCAUGAGGAACUAGAAACUGCUUUUCCCAGAAAGGCAGUUGGGGAGUAUUGAGUGGAAGCCUUCCAGCUGUCUGUGGGGUCAGGCCCCUCUGAGUCCAGUAGAGGGGGUGGAAAGCUGUAGGCAACAUACUUUAAAGAAGGGCAUCUCCCUUUACACUGUGCACAUCUGGGCUGGGUGACUCCUUGCCGCAAGGGACUGUCUGGUGCAUGAUAAAGACAUUCGGUAGCAUCUCUGGACCAUUCUCCCCCCGUUGCAACAGCCAAAUAUUUCUCUGGGCAUCACCAGGUACCUCUUGGGAGCCCUGGUGAGAAUCAUCACUGUGCAGAACAGAACCUUUGUGGAUGUUGAGGGCCUUGUGCCACAUUCAGGUAUGUAGGGAGCCUGCUAUUCACUUGGAUGUUCUUUGAUGCAGGGGACCAAAUCCAGAACCUUUUGCAUGCUAAGCAUGAGCUCUACAGCUAAACUAUACUCCUAGCCCCAAGCCUCCUGUUUUAUGUGCGCUGUCCCCUCUGCCUGGAGUCCUGUCCCCAAGCCCUACCUGCCAUCUUCCAGAACUGAACCCACAUCACCACUCCCAAGAAUGUUCUGUGGACCUUCUUAUAAGUUUGAUCACCAUGGUAUUAUAGAAGGCAAAAUAAUGCCUCUUCCCCAGAUGUCCACAUCCUCAUCCCCAGAACCUGGGAUUGUGUUCCCUUACUUACAAAAGGGAGCUUGUGGGGCUGAGGAUAUGACUCAGUUGGUAGAGUGCCUGUCUCACGUGCACAAGGCCCUGGGUUCAAUCCCCAGCAACGCAAAGAGGGGCGGGGGGGGGGAGUUUGAGAUGGGGGGUCAUUCUGGAUUAUCCAUGGCCCAGUGUCAUCACAAGGGUCUUCAUAAGAGGAAGACAGGAGGGUCAGAGCUAAAGAGGGAGACAUGGAGGUGGAAGCACAGGUCAGCAACUGGAAGACACAGCACUGCUGGCUCUGAAGACCGAGGAAGGGGCCACGAGCUGAGGGAUGCAGGCGCCUCUAGAAGCUGGAAAAGAUAGGAGAGAGAGGUUCUCCCUGAAGCCCUCAGAAAGAACCAGUCCUGCUGACACCUGACUUUGGGGAUUGGACCUCUGGCACUGUAAAAUAACAAAUUUGCCUUUUUCUCACCAAUUAGAAAAAAAUAAGUUACCUACAAAGUCUCUGUGUUAGCUUUGCAUUGUUAAAAUAACUGGGGCUGGGGUAGUGGCUCAGUGGUAGAGCACUUGCCUAGAAUGUGUGAGACACUAGGCUCAAUUCUCAGCACCACAUAUAAAUAAAUAAAGUUCCAUCAACAGCUAAUAAAAUAUUUUAAAAACAUAUUCAGAAGCCUGGAGUAGAGGAUGAUGGGGUAUGGGUGCUCCAAGAAUCCCAUUUCCUGGUAGAACCAUGUGGCUCCAUUCUAAUGUAUGUUGUUUGUGGGGAGGGGUUCUGCACAGAAUUUAAGAGUUGCACACCGCCCCCCAGACUUGACCUCCCCAACCCUGUGGAAAUGCUGUGACAAGGUGGAGGCCUCAAAAUGCAGAGGGUGGGGGGGUGGAGGGCGGGGUGCUUGGCUGGGACUGCCCUGAGGGAGGUUACAUGUCCUAUGGUGACAACCAGAGGGAGCUGCAGGUUCUGACAGAGUUCCCAUGGCUGGAUGGCCUCAGCCCUAUGGGAGGAAAAGAUUGGACCUGCUUCCAGUAUUGGUGGCCUUGGGCUUCUGUUUGAUCGGCUAUUGGAGGUCCCCUGCAAUUCUGUAAGAAUGUUAGGAUCUGCUUUUACAUUUCUGAAAAAAAAAAAAAAAACAUUAGUAUUCUGAUACAGCUUGCUUUGAAUCUGUAGACCAAUUUAGGGAGUAUUGCUAAGUUAAUCCUGGUAGGUCUUCCAAUCCGUGAACAUAGGAUGUUUUUCCAUUGAUUAGGUUUAUUUAAAUUUUUUUUUUUUUUUUUGUAUCAGAGAUUGAAUUCAGGGGCACUCAACCCCUCAGCCACAUACCCAGCCCUAUUUUAUAUUUUCUUUUUUUUUUUUUUAAGAGAGAGAAUUUUUAAUAUUUAUUUUUUAGUUUUCAGCAGACACAACAUCUUUGUUUGUAUGUGGUGCUGAGGAUGGAACCCGGGCCGCACGCAUGCUAGGCGAGCACGCUACUGCUUGAGCCACAUCCCCAGCCCCUAUUUUGUAUUUUCUUAAGAGACAGUGUUUCACUGAUUGCUUAGCACCUCUCUGUUGCUGAGGUUGGCUUUGAACUUGCACACAAUCCUCCUAUCUCAGCCUCCCAAGCCACUGGGAUUACAGGUAUGUGCCACCAUGCCCAGUUUUCACAAUGCUCUUUAGUGUUUGGUGUAUUAAUCCUGCAACUUCUUAGUUAAAUUUAUUCCUAAGUACUUAUUCUUUUUGAUUCUAUUCUGAAAUUGAUUUUUAAAUUUCCCUUUAAUUACUCAAUGCUAUUGUAUGGAAAGACAACAGAUUUUUGUAGGUUAAUCUUGUAUCCUGCAAAUUUCCUAACUUCAUUUUGUAGCUUUAAUAGUCCUCUCUCUCUCUCUCUCUCUCUGUGUGUGUGUGUGUGUGUGUAGAUUCUUUAGGAUUUUCUACAUAGGAGGUCAUACCAUUCACGAAUGGAGAGUCUGCCCUCCAUGGGUUCUGAUCUAGAGAUUCAACCAGUUGUAGACCAAAAUAUUCUUUAAAAGUUGUGUCUAUUCUGAACAUGUGCAGACUUUUAUUCUUGUCAUUAUUUCCUAAACACUGGAGUAUAACAAUUAUUUAGAUAGAGUUUACAUAGUGUGCAUUCCAAGCCAUCUGUAGAUGGUUUAAGUAUGCUGGAGGAUGUGUACAUUUUUUAUGUAACUGCUCUGCCAUUUUAUAUAAAGGACUUGGGCAUCCAAGGAUCUGGGUAUCUUUAUGUGUCUUGGAACCAGUCUCUUCAGUUCCAAGGGGUGACUCUAGUUUUGCCUCUGUUACCCCUCAUGAAUGGGAUUACUGCCUAUCAAAGAGCCAGAGUGAAUGAGGUAGGUCCUUUUAUCCUUCUGCCAUGAGAAAAUGCAGCAUGGCACUAUCUUGGAAGCAGAAGAUAAGCCCUUAGCUUCAGAACCAAGUGCAAUAAAUUUCUAUGAUUUAUAAAUUACCCUGCCUCAGGUGUUGUGUUACAACCACACAAACAGACUAAAAUAACAGGUCUUCCCAUCCAUUCCCUUGACUUAGGGUGUGGCUGCAUGAUUGGCUUUGGCCAAUACAACCUGAAUGGAAGUGACCCCCACCAGCUCCAUUUGCAAGGCUUCUGGUGCUCCUCGAACAUUCCCAUUGCCACGAAACAAACACCUGGGAAACUUCCAAAUGAAAAGACACAUGCAACAGUCAUGAAUCCAAUUCACAGACCAGAGCAAGGCCCAGCAGGGCUGCAGUCAUUUCC